AUUGAACGCUGGCGGCAGGCUUAACACAUGCAAGUCGAGCGAGCGGCGGACGGGUGAGUAAUGUCUGGGAAACUGCCUGAUGGAGGGGGAUAACUACUGGAAACGGUAGCUAAUACCGCAUACCAUCAGAUGUGCCCAGAUGGGAUUAGCUAGUAGGUGGGGUAAUGGCUCACCUAGGCGACGAUCCCUAGCUGGUCUGAGAGGAUGACCAGCCAGACUGGAACGGGGACACGGUCCAUACUCCUACGUGAGGCAGCAGUGGAGAAUAUUGCACAAUGGGCGCAAGCCUGGUGCAGCCAUGCCGCGUGUAUGAGGAAGGCCUUCGGGUUGUAAAGUACUUUCAGCGAGGAGGCGUUACUCGCAGAAGAAGCACCGGCUAACUCCGUGCCAGCAGCCGCGGUAAUUC
rnacentral:rRNA from 1 species